CGCCCGUCUGAGGGUCGGCUAGACCCAAAGCAAUCGUCUCCUAGAAUCGGGAUCCCGCGGCAGAGCGAUCCUUCACGGACUUCAACGUGUCGGACGGACCCUGCCGCAUGCGACCCGCGGAGGCGCCCUGGGCCCUCGAGGACUCUUCGGGGUCCCCGUGGCCUCAAAUUCAUGCAGCGCCGUCACUGCUCUUCGACCCGCUUGGCAUCGACGGCUCCGCCGCACGGCAGGACUCGGAUUGCGUAGCUUUCUCUCAAACGAGCCUGCCCGCAGCUCUUUAAGGCGACCGCGCGUUGUCAUCCGGGUGGAGCGAGCGCUGGUGACGCGCCCCUCUGCCAAAUGACAGGAGAUGAUCCUCUCACAUCUCCGACCUCAGAUCGGACGAGAUUACCCGCUGAAUUUAAGCAUAUAACUAAGCGGAGGAAAAGAAACUAACAAGGAUUUCCCCAGUAACGGCGAGUGAAGCGGAAAGAGCCCAGCACCGAAUCCCUCAGUGUCAUGCUGACGGGAACUGUGGUGUGAGGGACGCCACCAGUCGCACCAGAGGGUACCGAAGUCCUCCUGAUCGGGGCUUCACCCAGAGUGGGUGUAAGGCCUUUGCUGGUACCUCUCGGUGCGGCCGCGAGCGUCUCAGGAGUCGGG
rnacentral:rRNA from 1 species